rnacentral:rRNA from 1 species
AUUGAACGCUGGCGGCAGGCCUAACACAUGCAAGUCGAACGAGCGGCGGACGGGUGAGUAAUGUCUGGGAAACUGCCUGAUGGAGGGGGAUAACUACUGGAAACGGUAGCUAAUACCGCAUACCAUCGGAUGUGCCCAGAUGGGAUUAGCUAGUAGGUGGGGUAACGGCUCACAAAGGCGACGAGCCCUAGCUGGUCUGAGAGGAUGACCAGCCACACUGGAACUGAGACACGGUCCAGACUCCUACGGGAGGCAGCAGUGGGGAAUAUUGGGCAAUGGGCGAAAGCCUGAUGCAGCCAUGCCGCGUGAGUGAAGAAGGUCUUCGGAUUGUAAAAUACUUUCAGCGGAGAGGCGUUACCCAACGAGAAAGCACCGGCUAACUCCGUGCCAGCAGCCGCGGUAAUAC